CUGAACUUAAGCAUAUCAAUAAGCGGAGGAAAAGAAACCAACAGGGAUUGCCUUAGUAACGGCGAGUGAAGCGGCAACAGCUCAAAUUUGAAAGCUGGCCCUUUUAGGGUCCGCAUUGUAAUUUGUAGAGGAUGAUUCGGCGAGGGCUCCUGCCUAAGUCCCCUGGAACGGGGCGUCAUAGAGGGUGAGAAUCCCGUAUGCGGUAGGUUGCCUUAGCCAUGUGAAUCUCCUUCGACGAGUCGAGUUGUUUGGGAAUGCAGCUCUAAAUGGGAGGUAAAUUUCUUCUAAAGCUAAAUACCGGCCAGAGACCGAUAGCGCACAAGUAGAGUGAUCGAAAGAUGAAAAGCACUUUGGAAAGAGAGUUAAAAAGUACGUGAAAUUGUUGAAAGGGAAGCGCUUGCAACCAGACUUGUCCGCAGUUGCUCAGCCGGUCUCCUGACCGGCGUACUCUUCUGCGGCCAGGCCAGCAUCAGUUCGGGCGGUCGGAUAAAGGCCUCGGGAAUGUGGCUCCUCUCGGGGAGUGUUAUAGCCCGGGGUGCAAUGCGGCCAGCCUGGACUGAGGAACUCGCUUCGGCAAGGAUGCUGGCGUAAUGGUUGUAAGCGGCCCGUCUUGAA
rnacentral:rRNA from 2 species